GAAAUGCGAUAAGUAGUGUGAAUUGCAGAAUUCAGUGAAUCAUCGAAUCUUUGAACGCACAUUGCGCCCCUUGGUAUUCCAUGGGGCAUGCCUGUUAGAGCGUCAUUUGUACCCUCAAGCUCUGCUUGGUGUUGGGUGUUUGUCCCGUCUCCGCGCGUGGACUCGCCCCAAAGUGAUUGGCAGCCGGCGUACUGGUCCCGGAGCGCAGCACAUGUCGCGCAAACGAGUGCCUUGGUACGGCGGCGUCCAUAAGCCCCUCUCUCACGCUCUUGACCUCGGAUCAGGUAGGGAUACCCGCUGAACUUAAGC
rnacentral:misc_RNA from 1 species